ensembl:lncRNA
AUGGGGAGCCUCAGUCUCCCCCUUCUUCCUUUCUCCUCUCCCUCCCCAACCCCACACCGGACUUCCUUCCCCCUCCCCUCCACCCGCGGCUGCCGGAGCCCCCAAGCCCGGGUUACACUUCAUGCAGAGUAGUUGAAGAAAAGAGGACAAUGCCUUUUCGCUAAAAGCAUCCUGUAAAGCAACAGUCUCCUUUGUCCUUCUCACUUCGUUACCAGCUCCCUCCUCCUCAACAGUAAACAACAACAACAACAAACUCAGAAAGGAUACUUCUGACAAGCACAACAUUUGGAGGAGUCUGGAGAGAAGAAGUUGGAAAAAUGAGAUACCCGGGAAGGCGUACUUCAGAGAAAUUUUGAAAGGGACAAAUAGUAGCUACAAAGAGAACCUGCACCCUGCAUACAUUCCAUUUGCUUUCUCAAAAGAAAUGGUGAAGGUCAACAUUUUGUCCCAAAAAAAUUUUUUAAUUUAAAAAUUCUUGGUUUGUAUAGUUACAGAAGUACUGUAUGCUCAUCAAACAAAGCUCAUAUAUUACAG